rnacentral:rRNA from 1 species
UGUGUAGGCGGGCGGGCAAGUACCUUGUGAAAUCCCACGGCUCAACCGUGGAACGGCUGGGUAUACUGCCUGUCUUGAGCCAACUAGGGGCGAGCGGAACAGACGGUGGAGCGGUGAAAUGCGUAGAUAUCGUCUGGAACGCCGAAGGUGAAAACAGCUCGCUGGGGUUGUGCUGACGCUGAGACACGAAAGCCAGGGGAGCGAACG